UCCGGAGUAGUCGUGCCCUCGCCGCCGCCGCCUUCCUCCUUCUUCGCUCGCCGCCGCCGCUGCUGCCGGAAAGCGCGGCCUCGGACAGCCGCGCGCCGCGCCCUCCGGCUCGUGGUCAGGCAGAGGACGCGCCCCCUGCCCGUCCCGCGGAGGGGCCCCUCGGCUUCCUCGCGGUCCGGCGGCCCCGGGCUCCUUCCUGUCAGCCCCGGACAGAGUCCGCUCCAGUCGGGGACCCUCCGCUCGUCCACUGAGGAAGAGUGGACACCUGCCGCUGUAUCUCGCUAAACGGGGGCUUCUCUCUGCCGUCCCCUCACACCCACACAGGUGGCAGAGAUCCCGUUUUGCCCUCUUUUCCAACUCCAGAACCUUCUGACCUCCCCUAGUUCCUGCUGGCCCCUGCCCUCGCCUUGUCCACGCUCGCGGGGAGACAGCCCUCGGCCCCCGACGGCCUGGGCCUGGCGCGGUGCCUGCGGGCCCCUUCGCCACCACCGUCGCCUCCUCGCGCCUCCUCGCCCUUGGAGCCCCCGCCUGACCAGGGGCCAGUGGGGACCUGCUACCCAGGAUGUGAGCCCUUUUAGCCUGUAAUGCUGUGGCUGGCCCUUGGCCCCUUCCGUGCCAUGGAGAACCAGGUGCUGGUGAUUCGUAUCAAGAUUCCAAAUAGUGGCGCGGUGGACUGGACAGUGCACUCCGGGCCGCAGCUACUCUUCAGGGAUGUGCUGGAUGUGAUAGGACAGGUUCUGCCUGAAGCAACAACCACAGCAUUUGAAUAUGAAGAUGAAGAUGGUGAUCGAAUUACAGUGAGAAGUGAUGAAGAAAUGAAGGCAAUGCUGUCAUAUUAUUAUUCCACAGUAAUGGAACAGCAAGUAAAUGGACAGUUAAUAGAGCCUCUGCAGAUAUUUCCAAGAGCCUGCAAGCCUCCUGGGGAACGGAACAUACAUGGCCUGAAGGUGAAUACCCGGGCUGGACCUUCUCAACACAGCAGCCCAGCAGUCUCAGAUUCACUUCCAAGCAAUAGCUUAAAGAAGUCUUCUGCUGAACUGAAAAAAAUACUAGCCAAUGGCCAGAUGAAUGAACAAGACAUACGGUAUCGAGACACUCUUGGUCAUGGCAACGGAGGCACAGUCUACAAAGCAUAUCAUGUCCCGAGUGGGAAAAUAUUAGCUGUAAAGGUCAUACUACUAGAUAUUACACUGGAACUUCAGAAACAAAUUAUGUCUGAGUUGGAAAUUCUUUAUAAGUGUGAUUCAUCAUAUAUCAUAGGGUUUUAUGGUGCAUUUUUUGUAGAAAACAGAAUUUCGAUAUGUACAGAAUUCAUGGAUGGGGGAUCUUUGGAUGUAUAUAGAAAAAUUCCAGAGCAUGUCCUUGGAAGAAUUGCAGUAGCAGUUGUUAAAGGCCUUACCUAUUUGUGGAGUUUAAAGAUUUUACAUAGAGAUGUGAAGCCCUCCAAUAUGCUAGUAAACACAAGCGGACAGGUCAAGCUGUGUGAUUUUGGAGUUAGCACUCAGCUGGUGAAUUCUAUAGCCAAGACGUAUGUUGGAACAAAUGCUUAUAUGGCGCCUGAAAGAAUUUCAGGGGAGCAGUAUGGAAUCCAUUCUGACGUCUGGAGCUUAGGAAUCUCUUUCAUGGAGCUUGCUCUUGGGAGGUUUCCAUAUCCUCAGAUUCAGAAAAACCAGGGAUCUUUAAUGCCUCUCCAGCUUCUGCAGUGCAUUGUUGAUGAGACUUUCAAUUUUGACAUCAUUUUAGAUUCGCAUGCAGAUCUAAGAAAUAAUAUGGAGAGAUCCUGUAUACCCUUCACCCAGUUUCCCCCAGUGGUAACAGCUCGUAAGUAUAGUACAAUCUCACAACCAGGAAGUUGAAAUUGAUACAAUCCUUUGAAUUUAUUCAGAUUCUACCAGUUUUACAUGCACUCCUGUGUAUGUGUGAACAUUAAUGACAUGGAUCCUUUCAAAGCCAAGAAACAUGGCCUCCAAAAAAAAACAAGUAUUUAAAAUAAUGAUCUCCCUUUUAAGUAAGUCAUUUCAAAAGCAUUUUUCUCAUAUGUUUUCUGUGUUUGGAGUAUCCACCUGACCUGCCUGCUCUCAGGAUCACAGAGUGUACUUACUGGCAAACUUACUCUGCGAGUGAGCCAGCAGCGGCUGUGGUUGGACUUGGACCUCCUCCUCCCACCUCCUCUCCACCUCUUUGAGUGUGCAGGAUUCGCCUGUCCUUCCGGUUGGAGAGUUCUCCGAGCCAUUUGUACAUUUCAUCACUCAGUGCAUGCGAAAACAGCCAAAAGAAAGGCCAGCUCCUGAGGAAUUGAUG